AGUGAACGCUGGCGGUAGGCCUAACACAUGCAAGUCGAACGGCAGCACAGAGGAGCUUGCUCCUUGGGUGGCGAGUGGCGGACGGGUGAGGAAUACAUCGGAAUCUACUCUGUCGUGGGGGAUAACGUAGGGAAACUUACGCUAAUACCGCAUACGACGUACGGGUGAAAGCAGGGGACCAUCGGGCCUUGCGCGAUUGAAUGAGCCGAUGUCGGAUUAGCUAGUUGGCGGGGUAAAGGCCCACCAAGGCGACGAUCCGUAGCUGGUCUGAGAGGAUGAUCAGCCACACUGGAACUGAGACACGGUCCAGACUCCUACGGGAGGCAGCAGUGGGGAAUAUUGGACAAUGGGCGCAAGCCUGAUCCAGCCAUACCGCGUGGGUGAAGAAGGCCUUCGGGUUGUAAAGCCCUUUUGUUGGGAAAGAAAUCCAGCUGGCUAAUACCCGGUUGGGAUGACGGUACCCAAAGAAUAAGCACCGGCUAACUUCGUGCCAGCCGCCGCGGUAA
rnacentral:rRNA from 1 species